rnacentral:rRNA from 1 species
CCCUUAGAUGUUCUGGGCCGCACGCGUGCUACACUGAUGCAUUCAACGAGUAAUCUUUGACCUUGGUCGACAGAUCUGGGUAAUCUUUUGAAAUUGCAUCGUGAUGGGGCUUGCGGGUUGCAAUUACCCGCACCAACGAGGAAUUCCUAGUAAACGCAAGUCAUCAACUUGCAUUGAUUACGUCCCUGCCCUUUGUACACACCGCCCGUCGCUCCUACCGAUUGAGCGGUCCGGUGAAGACUCAGGAGAUGGGCGCGUGCUUGGUUCGCCAACUGCGCUGCCUGCCAAAUUUGUCUAAACCUUAUCGCUUAGAGGAAGGAGAAGUCGUAACA